rnacentral:tRNA from 1 species
GGAAGGGAAGCGUCCCCGGUGGGGCGGCCGGGCUUCAAACCCGGAUGGGGGCGUCAGCCGCUCCUCGGUGGGUUCGACUCCCACUCCCCUCCGCCA